rnacentral:rRNA from 1 species
UACAGAGGAUGCAAGCGUUAUCCGGAAUGAUUGGGCGUAAAGCGUCUGUAGGUGGCUUUUUAAGUCCGCCGUCAAAUCCCAGGGCUCAACUCUGGACAGGCGGUGGAAACUACCAAGCUGGAGUCCGGUAGGGGAGCGUGGAAUUCCUGGUGUAGCGGUGAAAUGCGUAGAUAUCGGGAGGAACACCUGUGGCGAAAGCGCGUUACUGGGUCGCAACUGACGCUGAGGAACGAAAGCCAGGGGAGCAAAAGGG